UUCCAAGACCUUCUUCUCCAGUCAAAAUCAAGUCACCCCAAUCUGUUAGUGCCAGGAGAAAUUACUUAGGGAACUUUACUAUUGCAAAGUGAGGAGGAGUGAGCCAUAGAAUCACUACUUUUCAGUGGCUGUCUAGGCCUCUGUUUCCAACCCUGGCAAAUUCAAGAUGUGUGGAUUUCAACUCCCAAAAUUCCCAAGCCAGCAUGCCUGAAGAAUUCUGACAGUUGAAGUCCAGGCAUUUUAAAUUUGCCAACUUGAGAAACACUGCCUAGGCUGUAGAUCUGAGUCUUACUUUUACACUUCCUACUUCUGACCUUCUGAAAAACCAAACUGUCCCAGAGAUCCUCUGGCUACUGCAUCACAGGAAUUCUGGUGGACAGAGCAUGGAAGGGCAGAAUGCAUGCUCCCUCUGAGCAAGGUGUUUGCAAUAUAUGCCAAGUCAACAUUUUCCACAAGGAUAAAUUCAAGGUAGGUUUAUAUACUGCUCCAGUCAUGACUGACUCUAAGUGGCUUACCGAGCUCCAAAUAAUAAUAGGAUUAAAAGCAAUAUUCAGCAACAAAAAAAUAAAGUACCCAGAUGCUGAGGAAUAGCCAUAAAACAUAUAAACAUUCACCCUCUAGGACAUUUGGAUAAAGAUUUUGCCAAAAUAUGAAGACAAAGAGGAAUCCCUAUGAUGACAACAAUAAAAAUCAGGAAAUGUUUGUGCACAACAACUAAAAACAUGAAUGUCCUCUAUAUAUGUUAUUCUUUUACUGUUCAUUAAAUGCACAAAACAGUAUUGUUUCAGGUUGAAUGUAAUACAGAUUCCUAUUUAAUCUUCAGUCCAGUUUCAUACCAUUUCCAAUAAAAAAAACCCUUCUGCUAGAAA